rnacentral:lncRNA from 1 species
AUGGCCAGUGAGGCCAAGGACGUCACCUGCCCUGUGUGCCAGGGGGCCCCCAAGGAGCCCAGCUACGUCCUCCCCUGUCUGCACCGCUUCUGCUUCGGGUGCAUCAUGCGCUGGGCCAAGAGAAGCAGCACCUGCCCCCUCUGCAGGCAGCGCAUCACCUCCAUCCGCUACUCCGUCUGGGUGGAAGACGACUUCCUGGAGGUGCAGCUUUCCCCCGAUGCAGAGGCCCAAGCUGACAGCCAGCAGGAUGAGCAGGGGGCUGCGGAGCCGGUGCCCCAGCCUGCCGUGGGAGGCCUCGUGCCCGAGGAAUGGGCGGCCCUCUUCAGGGAGCACCUGGAAGUCCUCGGUCCGCUGCGCUCCUGGGUGCGCCAGCAAGCCAGGGAGCUGUUCGACGCUGCCUGGUGGGACCAGGACAUGCUGGAGGCCACCGUCAUCGCUUGGCUGUGUCGCUGCGGGCUGGAUGAGCAGGCCUUGGUGCAGGAGCUGCGGCCGUUGCUCCAGGGCCACACGGUGAGCUUUGUGCAGUGGCUCAUCUCCAUCAUGCUGCAGAUAUGCAGCGAGGAGUACCUGGAGCACCUGGGAUUCCUGGAACCCCGUCCUGCCAGCCUGCAGUACAACGGCCCUGAGGUGGACCUCGAGGGCUCCCAAGACACCUGGGAGCCAGAGCUCGAGGGCUCCCAAGACACCUGGGAGCCAGAAGACAGCCCUGCGGCCACCCCUAGCCCUGCUGCCUCCCCCCGGGACACUCCUGCCAGCAGCCCGGAGGAUUCUGAUGUCGAGGAGCUGCCCAGCACCUCCAGUGCCGCCCUACCUGGGGGUCCUGGCCAUCUGCCCACCACACCCAUCCCCGGGGAGCAGGAGGAGACCUUCAGAGAGCCUGAAGAGGAGGAAGCAGAACAUGACGCGGUGCCAGGCUGCAGCCAGGGACCCUCUCGUCCUGGCCAUGGCAGGGACAGCUCACCUGGGGGGCCCCGGCACCCCCCAAAGAGGAGGGCCAACAGCAACUCGGACUCUCCCCAGCCCUGCAAGAGGCCCCGGCGCCUUUAG